UUUAUUAAAGUUAUUCAUUAAAUUCACACAUGCGAAGUAAAAAUAAUAUUUGUGCAUUAUUAUUGGUCAAAGCAUUUUUUUUUCUCCUCACAAAACAGUACCGAAAAAAUAGCCAUGAUUAUUUCACUCUCAAAUGCAACCUGAUGAAAUGAAGAAGACCAAGAUCUCUUAUUUGGAGGGAAGGGCGUGAUCUCAGCUUUGUGAACGACUGCGCUAAACAUGCAUACAUGGUCUAGUAGUGAGAAAAGGGAGUGGUGGAAAACCAGAAAGAAAGGAAGUGAAAAAACCCCAUAAAGGCACAGGACCUGAAAUUUUAGGGCAGUGGGCAUAAUCGAUAUGAUCGAACCCAUGCUAAAGUGGUACGUAUUUUAUCAACUCCGAAAGGAUGAAAGUCGACCUCGGCGGAAUUUGAACUCAAAAAGUAAAA